CUGAGAAAGGCCUCUUUGUCUCCCUGCAUUCUGCCUGCCUGUUUUGAGUGAGAUGCAAAACAAAUGCAAGAAACCAAACUAUAUGGCCUUGAUGACAUUUUUCUGUUUCUUGGCAUUGGUUUGUUGUGCUUAGAAAGGCCUUGAAUGUGUUGGACCAUAGUGUGUAUCUCAUCCACAGCCAAAUCAGAGAUAUUUGUGCAGCUGGCUUGAAGUUCCCCUUUCCCUUACAUGCAGGCUAUGGGAUGGAGAGGGUUUCUGAAUGCUGGGGCACCUUUCCAUCUCAAGAAUUCACAGCUGAAUCACAGCUGAGAGACAGGAUAUAGAUACUCAAGUUUUUCAUCUGUGUUGAGGAAGAAGUGGAGAGGAGACGUUUAACCACCACCUACCCCUUUAUCACCAGCUGUUGUCUGCCAGUAUUUGUAUUGCUUCUCUGUUCCCAUUUAGAUUACAGCUUAACCAGUGUGACCUGGAUUUUCAGACCUUAUUUUGAGCACAGCUAGUGCAAGUCUUGCUUUGGUUGAAGCCCUGCUGUGUCCAUGAGUAUCUCUCAAAGAGACAGGAGAGUGUUUCUUAUCAGUUUUAGAGGGAUAGUCUUACUAGAGUUCUUGUACUUCACCUGGAUAUGUGCAGUUCCUUUUUGUUGUGACAAGGCUUUGACACUUUGAUAAAUUACUCCUGCCAUAGGCCAUAGAUAACAUGAUAAAAUAGACUUCACUUGGAGUUACAACUGGUUUUCUUUUCAGACUGUCUUUCAUAUCUAUUUCUGCACUGGCAAUAUGGUCAGACUAUGGACCUUGAAGUUGUAAGACUGCAGAGCAUGAACCCAACAAACCAACUUCUUAUCAGUUUGACAGGCUGUGACUGUUGUCCUGGUGACUGGUGUAGUUGCACUAUCAGCAUGUACAGAAGGCAGAGAAAGAGAAGCCUCAGUGUGUGGGUGUAG
rnacentral:lncRNA from 13 species